CCUACGGGAGGCAGCAGUGAGGAAUAUUGGUCAAUGGACGAGAGUCUGAACCAGCCAAGUAGCGUGAAGGAUGACUGCCCUAUGGGUUGUAAACUUCUUUUAUAAAGGAAUAAAACGAGGCACGUGUGCCUUUUUGCAUGUACUUUAUGAAUAAGGAUCGGCUAACUCCGUGCCAGCAGCCGCGGUAAUACGGAGGAACCGAGCGUUAUCCGGAUUUAUUGGGUUUAACGGGAGCGCAGAGGGUUUGUUAAGUCAGUUGUGAAGGUUUGCGGCAAAACCGUGAAAGUGCAAUUGAUAAUGGGUGGCUGGAGUGCAGUAGAGGUAGGCGGAAUUGGUGGUGUAGCGGUGA
rnacentral:rRNA from 1 species